rfam:Schistosoma mattheei strain Denwood, Zambia genome assembly, scaffold: SMTD_scaffold0004236
AUCCAGUUGACUAGUCUUAAAUAGGACGAAACGCGCGUUCUGGAU